UCGUGCAGCCGGGGUGCUAGCGGUACCUUGUACCUACAAUCCGCUAUAGUAGGGGUGAUAUUGCGCAGAGGACAUAUUCUUGUAGAGCUGCCCUUGUUAAGCGGCGUUGAGAUUUGGGUCUUACGCGGCGAAAAUCUAUGAACCGUGUCAGGUCGGGAACGAAGCAGCACUAAGUAGAACCUUUCGGGUGCCGUAAGGUAGCCUGAGUUGAGUUGGCUGAUAAGGUAACGUCUAUGAGAUGUGUUCGAAGCGCAAUGCACGU
rnacentral:SRP_RNA from 1 species